rnacentral:rRNA from 1 species
CCUACGGGUGGCUGCAGUGGGGAAUAUUGCACAAUGGGCGCAAGCCUGAUGCAGCCAUGCCGCGUGUGUGAAGAAGGCCUUCGGGUUGUAAAGCACUUUCAGCGGGGAGGAAGGCGGUGAGGUUAAUAACCUCAUCGAUUGACGUUACCCGCAGAAGAAGCACCGGCUAACUCCGUGCCAGCAGCCGCGGUAAUACGGAGGGUGCAAGCGUUAAUCGGAAUUACUGGGCGUAAAGCGCACGCAGGCGGUCUGUCAAGUCGGAUGUGAAAUCCCCGGGCUCAACCUGGGAACUGCAUUCGAAACUGGCAGGCUAGAGUCUUGUAGAGGGGGGUAGAAUUCCAGGUGUAGCGGUGAAAUGCGUAGAGAUCUGGAGGAAUACCGGUGGCGAAGGCGGCCCCUGGACAAAGACUGACGCUCAGGUGCGAAAGCAUGGGGAGCAAACAGGAUUAGAUACCCUUGUAGUC